rnacentral:rRNA from 1 species
UACGAAGGGGGCUAGCGUUGCUCGGAAUCACUGGGCGUAAAGCGCACGUAGGCGGCUUUUUAAGUCAGGGGUGAAAUCCUGGAGCUCAACUCCAGAACUGCCUUUGAUACUGGGAAGCUUGAGUCCGGGAGAGGUGAGUGGAACUCCGAGUGUAGAGGUGAAAUUCGUAGAUAUUCGGAAGAACACCAGUGGCGAAGGCGGCUCACUGGCCCGGUACUGACGCUGAGGUGCGAAAGCGUGAGGAGCAAACAGG